UUUUUUUUUUUUUUCCCAUCAGCAAUCACUGAGCCCCCACUCUGCCAGGCCCUGGGCUAAAUGCUGAAAAUACCAAAAUGAUUCAUAGUCACUUCCACAGCUCCUGGCUCCAGAGCUCGUGCUAGGGGUUGGUGUAACAGCCAGACUGAAGGCGCUCCUCCCACCAUUCCCACCUCCCGAUAUUCAUGACUUUGGAGAAUCCCUUGCCCUUGAAUGCAGAUGGGGUUUGUGACUUGCUUCUAAUCAAUACAUCAGGGCAAAGAUGCUGGGACAUCACUGCCAGUGACUGGGUUACACCCCCUAAGCCUCCCUCUUGCGGGCUUGAUGAGACACACAGCCACAGCGAGGAUGCUCGCACAGCAAGGGGCUAGAGCCGACUGUGAGCUCAACAUCGGGGUCCUCAGUCAUGCGGCCACAGGAAAUGAGCCUGGAAGUAGCUGCCUGCCUAGUCAAGACCCCAGAUGAAAACGCAACCUGGCUGAUACCUCGAUUGCAGCCUUUUAAGACUCAGAGUACAGGACCCAGCUCAGCGGUGCCUGUCCUCCUGACCACAGAAACUGUGAAAUAGUAACUGUGUGUUGUUUUCAGCGGCUCUAUUGGUGGUAAUAAAUUUGUCCCAUAGCCUUAGAAAACUAUCAUAGCCAGCUAGAGCCUAUGAGCCAAAGCUCUUCUGCAGCCUGUUCUCGAAUGCCCUGCAAGCUAAGGAUGCUUUUUACAUUUUUUGGGCCACACCCACCUCAUGUGGAAAUUCCAGGGCCAGGGAUCAAACGCUUGCCACAGCGGUGACCCCAGCUGCUGCAGUGACAACACCAGAUCUGCUGCACCACAAGGGAACGCCAAUUUUUACAUUUUUAAGUCAUUAACUCAAAAGAAGAAUACCUUGGGACACGUGGAAAUUACAUCAAAUACCAAUUUCAGCGUCCAUAAAUAAAGGUUUAUUGGAAAACAGUCUCACCCAUUCAGUUAUUGUUCUUUGGGGCUUCUUGCACACACCACACUGGAACAGUUGGGCAGAUGUGACAGAGAUCAAAUGAACCAAAAAGCCUAAAAUAUUUACUCUCUGGCCCUUUUCCGGAAAAAAAAAAUAAUUAAAUUACUGGUCCUUGAUCUAGUGGAAGAUAGUUGAAUAAAUAGAUCAAUUACAUGCUCAGAAGAGGCAUGGGAACUGGGCCCUACUGUUGCGUAGGAGAGUUUUCCAGACGGAACGUGGAGGAAGGAUGUCACGGAGGAGGGGUCAAAAGUAGAAAAAUCAUGCAGAUAUGAAAGGGUUCAAUGAUCCAGAAGUGGUGAGAAACUCCCAAAAGCCUGGACCCACGGAUUUCUGAAGCCCCCAUUGGGUGUCCUUAGAUCAAACAUCAAGCUUUGGGGAAAUUAUUGCAUAAAAUAAGAUCUGCAACUGAAUCCACAUCUCUAAGCUGUGACUGUGGUUUGCUUAGGGCUCUCGGCCAAAUCAUGCCACACAUGCUUCUGCCGAAAUGAGCUUGGUGAUAGGGCUGCGUCCCUGCUUCCAAACGCCAUAAAAUCCACAAAAUUAUUUUACUUUCCAAAUUGGAAAUGUUAAUAUUAUCCUGCUUUUCUUGUUUGGGGAGGGGGGAGGGGGGAGCUCUCUACGGUUUCGUGGCUGCCGAUCAUGGUCUGUUAGGCGACUACUUAAGAGUCCGUUUCGGAGUUCCCGUCGUGGCGCAGCGGUUAACGAAUCCGACUAGGAACCAUGAGGUUGCGGGUUUGAUCCCUGGCCUUGCUCAGUGGGUUAAGGAUCCAGCAUUGCCGUGAGCUGUGGUGUAGGCUGCAGAUGCGGCUCGGAUCCCGCGUUGCUGUGGCUCUGGUGUAGGCUGGCAGCCACAGCUCCGAUUAGACCCCUAGCCUGAGAAUCUUCAUAUGCCGCAGGAGUUGCCCAAGAAAUAGCAAAAAAAAAAAAAGACAAAAAAUAAAUAAAUAAAAGAUUCCGUUUCAUUCAUUUUCUCGAAGUCUCUAUCCUAUCUUCUCUGACCCUCGGGUCUGUUCACUUGUAGGUGGCACUGACGUUUGAAAAAAAAGGCACACGGGCAAAACACCACGGGGGAAGCUCAGCUAGCUGGAUCCAAGAGACCUUACAGGAUCUGGCCAUCAGCUUCUGGGUCUAGAAUCGCCUCAGUGCCGUAUUUCUGAUCAAUGCCAGCAUCAUUAUUAUCGCCACGAUGCUCUCCGAUUUUAUCAGGGGCUCAGCAUUGCGUGCCCCCAAACAAAAUGACCCCAAACUACUGCAGGUUCUGUGACCGCACGUUACCAUUUUUCUGUCUCCUCGUCACCCGGGUGUGUGGCCUCCUCUCCUUUCCACUGGCUGCCUUCCAGGAGCAGCCACACUGGCCCGCUUUCAAUCGCUGAGAGUUUAAAAAGGGGUAACAGUGGUCUUUAAAUUGUGUGUAAAACAAUCUGUAGACAAAGAGUGAGGGUCUGAGGGUUCUGCCAUGACUUAAAUUACAUGAAUUUACUAUAUUCGAUCCGUACCCCCUCUUUGGCUGCUGAGAAGCCUUUUAUCCAUCUGCCUAGUCAUCAAGUACAUUCCAGAAAGCCGUUUUUGAACAGCUUGGGGGACAAUAGAAAAGGCGGGUCCAAGGAAAACAAAACUCUCUCAUGCAAAUGAUUUAUCUCCACUAAUGCACACCAGUUUGCAGAUCCAUCUAACUACAUUACGUAUAGUAAGAAUUUCUAGUCAAUGUCCUUCAACUUAGAUCUAAGUUUGAGGAAUUCAGCAAAUUGAGUCAAGCAGUCAAUGGCCCCAUCGCCUCAGGGCUUUAUGACAUUUUCAGAAGCUCAGCAGGUGCUUACAGCCAGCAGCAAAUGGCAGGACAGAAUCAUGGCUGUCCGGAUGCCAGAAGGUCCCCAGAUAGUAACUCUCCCUUUAAGACCCCUUCCUUCCCCAGGCUCAGUGCAGCUAAACUGUCCCGCAUCAGGAGGCGGGAACGAACAAGAGCUUACCAAUUACUUAGUAUUUUUAGUUUAAAAAUAUGGGAGGGGAGUUCCCAAUGCGGCGCAGCGGAAACGAAUCCGACUAGGAACCAUGAGGUUGCAGGUUCGAUCCCUGGCCUCUCUCAGUGGGUUAAGGAUCUGGCGUUGCCAUGAGCUGUGGUGUAGGUUGCAGACACGGCUCAGAUCUGGUGUUGCUGUGGCUGUGGUGUAGGCCGGCAGCUACAGCUCUGAUUUGACCCCCCUGGGAACCUCCAUGUGCCGCAGGUGUAGCCCUAAACAGACAAAAGUCAAAAAAAAAAAGGAAGAAAAAAAGAAAGAAAAAGCAAUUUCUGCAAAAAUGAAAAGAGAAAAGCAUAUUAAGAGGCUCCUGGCUAUUCCCC
rnacentral:lncRNA from 1 species